CCUACGGGCGGCAGCAGUGAGGAAUAUUGGUCAAUGGCCGGAAGGCUGAACCAGCCAUGCCGCGUGAAGGUCAGUGCCCUAUGGGCGUUAAACUUCUUUUGUGCGGGAGCAAUAAUGGUCACGUGUGGCCAGACGAGAGUACCGUACGAAUAAGCAUCGGCUAACUCCGUGCCAGCAGCCGCGGUAAUACGGGGGAUGCAAGCGUUAUCCGGAUUUAUUGGGUUUAAAGGGUGCGUAGGCUGUGAAGUAAGUCAGCGGUGAAAUGCCCCGGCUCAACGGGGUGAAGUGCCAUUGAUACUGCCUGGCUGGAAUGCGGAUGCCGUGGGAGGAAUGUGUGGUGUAGCGGUGAAAUGCAUAGAUAUCACACAGAACACCGAUUGCGAAGGCAUCUCACGAAUCCGCGAUUGACGCUGAUGCACGAAAGCGUGGGUAUCAAACAGGAUUAGAUACCCGUGUAGU
rnacentral:rRNA from 1 species